rnacentral:lncRNA from 1 species
UUUUGAGGUCUGCUGUAUCCUAGAAGCUACUGUGUCAGAUGGCAGGACAUUCCAAAAUGGUAGCUGCUAAGUCUGCAGUGAUGGAAAGGUUGAUGGACCUGAAAAUAUUUUUUUCUUUAUUAGUUUUGAUGAGCAGUAUUCUGGUGUGCUGUCCAGAAUGAGCCCAUCGUAUUCAGCAUAUUUUUGAUAUCUUAAACUUUCUGUGCUUCUGCCGAGACUGUUUUCACAGUUAAGAUGCCCUGUUGGCAGAAUAAUGGGUUAAGAAAGAAGAACUUGGAAAGAGGUACUUACGUAAGCUGAAAGGUAAGGGAUGCAAGAGGAGAGAAUAGGAAUAGAAUACAGAGAUAUGGGAGAGAAAAACAAUCAUUUAACCUGUAAUUUUUAACAGCUCUAAGGUUUACCAACCCUAUUUUAGCCAUAAGUCUGUGUUUGUGAUGUAUGCUAUAAAGGCAACUUAUAUAGCUCCUGCCUCUCCCUUUCGGUGUAUUUAUUUUUUCCACUUGGGCAAACCUUUGAUAUUUUAAACACCAGCCUUUUCCUUUGAGGUGUUCUGAAAAUCCCAUGUGUGUGCUGGGAAACGCUUCUGAUUUCUCCAGAUCCGUCUGACUGAAGUUCUGAAUCCGAUGAUCACAUUGCUAGUGUUUGACACCAUGCAGAAAUUGCUACAGAGGGGGUAGAAAAAGGAGAAUAAUUGGGCCUUUAUUUUAUACUUCCUGUCAGAAAGAAUCGACCAAACUCAGGGAGUCUAAUCCAGGUGAUAACUGCAGGAGGGAAGACUGAACUAGUUCCUGCACAUCUUUGAUGUCGGAUGCCUAAGACGGUGGAACUUCAGCAAGGGAGAAGCUGUGGAAAGUCUGUCUGCCAGCAUAAUUUGAGUGGUCGUCUGUAUCCAGUGAUUGUAACGAUGUCAUUAUUGGAAUCAAAUUUCAAGUAGUAUUUUGUGCUGUCUGUUGAGAGUUAUCUGCGUUUAUUUACCAGAAAGUAUCAUGCAUUUGUCUCUAAAUGGAAGCUGCAGGCUUUGGAGUCUGUAGAUGUCCUAAAUCCUAGCAUUAUAUGGUGACAUGCUUGUUUUCUCUGAAAUGGGAAUUGCAUUAAUGUUGUGUAAUCUCAUACGUAAUGAUUGGAUACUUUCUCAGUCACUGUUUCUAGCAACUUACCAAGAAUCUUUCAGUUGUCUUUUUUCUUCCUUCUGUCUGGGAACAUAGCUCUACCCCGCUAUUAUGUUGGCUGUAAUUAUAGGAAACACUGUGAUCGUAUGUCCUAGUCUUCUAACACUUCUUGUGUAUGUUCUGCAGGAGUUAGUGGAACUGUAUAGUGAUUAAUAACUUGAGAAGGAGUUCCUAAUUUGCCUUACAGUUUAUAAACUGCUAUCAGGCCUACAGUUGUAGGAUAAAAUAGCAGUUUUGCCAAAUGCCUUUGUGUUAGUACAGAAACACUAGGAAAAAGCAUACA